rnacentral:rRNA from 1 species
UCAAGAUAAGAUUUCCCACCGCAAGGGUAAGACCCCAGAAAGACUAUCUGGUUGAUAGGUCGAAGGUGUAAGUGCAGCAAUGUAUUUAGCUUAUCGAUACUAAUAGGUCGAGGACUUGACCAAAUU